AGAGUUUGAUCCUGGCUCAGAACGAACGCUGGCGGCGUGCUUAACACAUGCCAAGUCGAACGCGAGAGUUUCUUCGGGAAGACGAGUAGAGUGGCGCACGGGUGAGUAACGCGUGGAUAACCUGCCCUGGUAUCUGGAAUAACAUCUCGAAAGGGGUGCUAAUACCGGAUAAGCCCACGGGGUCUUCGGACUCUGCGGGAAAAGGUGGCCUCUGAAUAUGCUACCGUAUCAGGAUGGGUCCGCGUACCAUUAGCUAGUUGGUAGGGUAGUGGCCUACCAAGGCUACGAUGGUUAGCUGGUCUGAGAGGAUGAUCAGCCACACUGGAACUGAGACACGGUCCAGACUCCUACGGGAGGCAGCAGUGGGGAAUUUUGCGCAAUGUGGGAAACCCUGACGCAGCAACGCCGCGUGAGUGAUGAAGGCUUUCGGGUCGUAAAGCUCUGUCAGGGGGAAAGAAGGGCACCUGGGGGUUUAAUAGCCCAAGGGGCUGACGGUACCCCAAAGGAAGCCAACGGCUAACUACGUGCCAGCAGCCGCGGUAAUA
rnacentral:rRNA from 1 species